rnacentral:rRNA from 1 species
GAUGAACGCUGGCGGCGUGCCUAAUACAUGCAAGUCGAGCGAACGGACGAGACGCUUGCUUCUCUGAUGUUAGCGGCGGACGGGUGAGUAACACGUGUAUAACCUACCUAUCAGACUGGGAUAACUUCGGGAAUCCGGCGCUAAUACCGUAUGAUCUUUUGCACCGCAUGGUUCAAAAGUGAAAGACGGUCUUGCUGUCACUUCUAGAUGGAUCCGCGCUGCAUUAGCUAGUUGGUAAGGUAACGGCUUACCAAGGCAACGAUGCAUAGCCGACCUGAGAGAGUGAUCGGCCACACGGGAACUGAGACACGGUCCAGACGACUAAGGGAGGCAGCAGUAGGGAAUCUUACGCAAUGGGCGAAAGCAUGACGGAGCAACGCCGCGUGAGUGAUGAAGGUCUUCGGAGCGUAAAACUCUGUUAUUAGGGAAGAACAGAUGUGUAAGUAACUGUGCACAGCUUGACGGUACCGAAUCAGAAAGCCACGGCUAACUACGUG